AGACCCGCAGCGGAAGCUCAGUAACACGUGGCCAAGCUACCCUGUGGACGGGAAUACUCUCGGGAAACUGAGGCUAAUCCCCGAUAACGCUUUGCUCCUGGAAGGGGCAAAGCCGGAAACGCUCCGGCGCCACAGGAUGCGGCUGCGGUCGAUUAGGUAGACGGUGGGGUAACGGCCCACCGUGCCCAUAAUCGGUACGGGUUGUGAGAGCAAGAGCCCGGAGACGGAAUCUGAGACAAGAUUCCGGGCCCUACGGGGCGCAGCAGGCGCGAAACCUUUACACUGUACGAAAGUGCGAUAAGGGGACUCCGAGUGUGAAGGCAUAGAGCCUUCACUUUUGUACACCGUAAGGUGGUGCACGAAUAAGGACUGGGCAAGACCGGUGCCAGCCGCCGCGGUAAUACCGGCAGUCCGAGUGAUGGCCGAUCUUAUUGGGCCUAAAGCGUCCGUAGCUGGCUGAACAAGUCCGUUGGGAAAUCUGUCCGCUUAACGGGCAGGCGUCCAGCGGAAACUGUUCAGCUUGGGACCGGAAGACCUGAGGGGUACGUCUGGGGUAGGAGUGAAAUCCUGUAAUCCUGGACGGACCGCCGGUGGCGAAAGCGCCUCAGGAGAACGGAUCCGACAGUGAGGGACGAAAGCUAGGGUCUCGAACCGGAUUAGAUACCCGGGUAGUCCUAGCUGUAAACGAUGUCCGCUAGGUGGUGGCGCAGGCUACGAGCCUGCGCUGUGCCGUAGGGAAGCCGAGAAGCGGACCGCCUGGGAAGUACGUCUGCAAGGAUGAAACUAAAG
rnacentral:rRNA from 1 species